GAGAUCCCUCAACGUUCCAGUCAAGUGGUUGUUGCCAACAUCAAGAUGCCGGAGAUUUUUAAGAUUCCCCAAUUCGGGAGGAACUUUUCCGGUAAAGCGGUUUUCAUGAAGAUAAAGAUAUCGAAGUUCCGGUAAAUUUGAAAGUUCUGAAGGAAUUUCUCCUUUGAAAUUAUUGAAACUGAGGUACAAGUGAGUCAGUUUCUUUAGCUCGCCGAUUUCAGGAGGGAUGGCAUCUUGUAGCUUAUUCCACCUCAGAUUUAGUAACUUGAGAUGUUUCAGUCGCCCAAUUUGAGGAGGGAUGGGACCAGUCAACUUGUUAUUAUGGAGAUCCAGCCUUGUUAGAUCCAGCAGAUUUGUAACAGCAGUAGGAAAGGGACCAACGAUGGAGACUGCAUAUACUUCCAGUUCUGUCACAACCCUGUAAUCUCCUUGUUGGGAACACGUGACUCCAGACCAUGGGGGUAAGUCACCGUCGC
rnacentral:misc_RNA from 1 species